UACGGAGGGUGCGAGCGUUGUUCGGAAUUAUUGGGCGUAAAGCGCACGUAGGCGGCUCGAUAAGUCUCUUGGUGAAAUGCCGGGGCUCAACCCCGUGCAUGCCGGGGAUACUGACGAGCUGGAGACAGGUAGAGGCAAGUGGAAUUCCGGGUGUAGCGGUGGAAUGCGUAGAGAUCCGGAAGAACACCGGUGGCGAAGGCGGCUUGCUGGACCUGGUCUGACGCUGAGGUGCGAAAGCGUGGGGAGCGAACAGG
rnacentral:rRNA from 1 species